AAUGUCUAUGUACGGUGUGUGCAAAUGUAGAGGCGAAAUAAUUACAAUUUAGCAUUAACACUGGAGUGAGAGAUGUGUAGAUGAUGAUGUGCAAGUAGAGAUACUGGGGUGCAACAGAGCAAGAGGAUCAAUAACAAUAUGGGGAUGAGGUAGUUGGAUGGGCUAUUUACAGAUGGGCUAUGUACAGGUACGGUAGAGAGGAGAUAUGAGACUCCAGCUUUAGAGAUUUUUGCCAUUUGUUCCAGUCACUGGCAGCAGAGAACUGGAAGGAAAGGUGGCCAAAGGAAGUGUUGGCUUUGGGGAUGACCAGUGAAAUUUACCUGAAACACUAUACUCAGCAAAUUGAUGGAUGUGGUGGUGGUGUUGGAGGAUGAGGUGAUGGUGUUGGAGUAAGAGGUGAUGGUGUUGUUGUUGGAGGAUGAGGUGAUGGUGUUGUUGUUGGAGGAUGAGGUGAUGGUGUUGUUGUUGGAGGAUGAGGUGAUGGUGUUGUUGUUGGAGGAUGAGGUGAUGGUGUUGUUGUUGGAGGAUGAGGUGAUGGUGUUGUUGUUGGAGGAUGAGGUGAUGGUGUUGUUGUUGGAGGAUGAGGUGAUGGUGUUGUUGUUGGAGGAUGAGGUGAUGGUGUUGUUGUUGGAGGAUGAGGUGAUGGUGUUGUUGUUGUUGGAGGAUGAGGUGG